rnacentral:rRNA from 1 species
GACAGAGGGGCAAGCGUUGCUCGGAAUCACUGGGCGUAAAGGGCGCGUAGGCGGGAUGGCAAGUCGGUCGUGAAAUCCUUCGGCUCAACCGAAGAACGUCGGCCGAUACUGCCGUUCUUGAGGGAUGCAGAGGAGACUGGAAUUUAACGGUGUAGCGGUGAAAUGCGUAGAUAUCGUAAGGAAGACCAGUGGCGAAGGCGAGUCUCUGGACAGUUAC